rnacentral:lncRNA from 1 species
AGACACGAGACUCAUCAGCGGACCUCAUUGUAAGACAAGUUCCAACGAUAAGUCAUACAAUGACAACGCUGGCAAGCUCCUCCAUCUCCUCGUCAACGAUACCAAGAAGGUGAGGAGGUCAGGGCACCAGGACUUUUCUUACAAUCACAACUUCCCCAACAAGGAUGUCGGAUCUGUCACCGGAGGCGCUAAAUGCAAUGGACACCUUUGGGGAUGGCAAUGUGAGAGUUGUCUUCGCUCGGCAAGGAAGAAAAUCCAGAAAGGGUGUAAGCCCUCCAUUGAAGGUAGCGUCUACUUGGAAGAUUGCUCCAUAUGGUACAAGAAGAUCGUUUGAUUGAUUGAUUCGUCGUCGUUUUCAUCGUCAUCAUCCUCGAGCAAUGUUGGGCCCAUACAAAUGUUUUUAAUUUGAUGUUCUUUGUUUUGUAAAUGGUGUUAAUUGUUAAUUUUCUGGUGGUUGUGCUUUGGGUCAGGCGCCUAGUACUAUUGGCUACCUUAUACUAUCAUAUGCUAAUGUAAAUUUGAUUAAGAAUGAAAUGAAAUGAAACCAUAUGUUGGAACAUUCUCUAAAGGAUGAAAAUUUGAUUUGGAUUUUGAUAUAGAAAAUUAAUUUUCACUUAUGAAACCAAUAUAUAAUGUCUAUCCGUUUAAAAAAAAAAAGUAUAUCGAGAAAUGUAUGGAUUGAUUGUCGAAUGGAAUUAUUUUAGUGAUAGAGUGUAUUAAUGAUCUGAAAAUGACAAGUUACAAUCCAGUUAAAUUCCACGUACGAACACCUUAUAGAUUGAUUGAGAAUUAACGAUCUAUAAUCCCUUCGGUUAGCAGUUUAUACGAGGAGAUGAUGAUUAUUAUGUUUUCUUUAACAUAAUCAAUCUUAGCUCUUAAAUUUUUUGACAAAAUAUUCAAUCUCAUUAAUAACUCCGCUAGGAUAUCGGUUCAACAAAACAAAAGCAAAUCAACCUAUAGACUCCAUAAACGGAAUUAUAUAAAUAAAAAAUCAUCGAUCCAAAGCAAGGGCGGAACAAGAGGGUGGCCUGAGGUAGUAUCCGCUCAAAGACUCAAACAAACAAAACCAAAAAAAAAACAUCGUUUCUGUAAUAUUAUUAUUUGUAGCUGAUUAAAUAAUAAAUGAAAAGAGAAUUAAUACUAGGACUGUGAUUUGUGAUAUUAUAUUUCUUUUAAUACCGAUUUUUCGCCACCAAAUAUUUGUUGUCUUUUUUAAGUUUACCAUAUCUCCACGUAACUUCCAACCUCUUAAGUAUUUCUUCAAACAUUUUCUUUUAAUAAUUAUUCUAGCUUCAUAUUCUCUUUUCAAAUUUAAUUCAGCCUAUUAGUUCAUUGGAAAGAAUCAAAUUACUUGUACUAAUAGGCUGAAACUCCCAAGUGCCGUGAAAAUUAAAUCAGAGUUUGCUGUAUGUUAAAUUCUUUAUUGACCCCCAAACAACAAAUCUAAAUCCUAUUGAACAUCAUCUCUGGGAUUAUCUCCAAUCGUUAUCGAGCUCAUCGUUGCAUGAUGUCGCACUACCAUACCCUAAAACCGCCAUAUUUUCGAAUCUCUAAAUCUGACCUUGUACUAAUACACCGUAAACACACCUGACUUUGUACUAAUACAUUUAUAGAAUGACAAACUCUUCAAACGUGAGAAAAGUAAAUAAAAGAAUAUCCCAAACAAAAAUAAUAAUACCUAACAUACCCUUUGAUUCUCCCGCCACACAUUUCCCCUGAUGCGUUUUCAUGUCCGCUAGCCAUUAGAUGAACAGAUGCUUAGACAUCAACCCGGUUACUCACCUCGUUUUCAGCCGACACUCGGGUAGGCCCUGAAGAGUGCCGCUCACUCCUUUCUUCCAUGCCAUCACUAACUCAGUAACAUGUAUCACGUCGAGAUAAUAGCGUUCACUUCGUGACACGCAUGACUUUUUUCAUUCCGACCAUAAUAAUAGAUGUCUUAAUCUUUCGUUAUUGUUUCAACAAUAACUAACCUAUAUUUGAAUUUCUUGAGUAUCAAAUCAAUGACUGUUGAAACUAAGCAUGGUUCACUGUCAAGACAUGAAACUCAUCAGAGGUUUAAAAUGGCUACUCUAUGUAGGGAUAACUGUCCUAAGUCACGACCAUCCGUUAUAUCUAUUUAGUUCUAUACAAUUCAUUAUUUUUUCUUAUAAUUUUGAUAUUUUUCAAAUUCAAUUUAAUAAUAUUUUAAAAAUCGUCGCCUUUUUAAUCUGUCCAUAAUGACCCAUAAUUUCAUAUCUUUCCAAUCAUAUUCUUUCUUUUUUGGUGGAAAUCCUAUUCAUUCCAAUCAUAUUCAUACCAAAGUUAGAGAAACGUUUGAAAAACCCAUUGACAGAAAAAUUCAAGCUUUGAAAUCAAUGAGCCUACAGUGAAACCUUUGUCCUGUUGUUUGAUGGCGAUGCUACCAUGGUUUAACAUUUUGUCAUAACUAUACAAAAAUAAGAAUUUGGUUAAUUAGUAGCUAUAAAUAGCCAGGCUAAGCCACAUUAAUUCCUCACCUUCAACACAACCAAACCAGAACCAAAAGAAAAAAACAAAGAAGGUCAUCAAUCAUCAGUCAAGAGUAACAGAUUCAGGGGAAGUUGUGAGAAAAAAUGGUGAGUUUCGUGUCGAAAAUGACUGUAGCCACGGUCAUCAUGCUCAUCUCUAUUCUAAGCGUGGUUCACUGCCAAGACACGAGACUCAUCAGCGGACCUCAUUGUCAGAAAAGUUCCAAUGAUGAAUCAUACAACAACAACGUCGGUAAGCUCCUCCAUCUCCUUGUCAACGAUACCAAGAAGGUGAGGAGGUCGGGACACCAGGAAUUUUCUUACAAUCACAACUAUCCCAACAAGGAUGUCGGAUCGGUCACCGGAGGCGCUAUAUGCGACGGACACCUUUGGGGAUGGCAAUGCGAGAGUUGUCUUCGCUCGGCAAGGAAGAAAAUCCAAAAAGGGUGUAAGCC